CUGGUGUCAGCCGCCGCGGUAAUACCAGCUCUCCGAGUGGUAGGGAUGAUUAUUGGGCUUAAAGCGUCCGUAGCCGGCUUAGCAAGUCUCCUGUUAAAUUCAGCGACCUAAUCGUUGAGCCGCGGGAGACACUACUAGGCUAGGAGGCGGGAGAGGCCGACGGUAUUCUCGGGGUAGGGGUGAAAUCCUAUAAUCCCGGGAGGACCACCAGUGGCGAAGGCUGUCGGCUAGAACGCGCUCGACGGUGAGGGACGAAAGCUGGGGGAGCGAACCGGAUUAGAUACCCGGGUAGUCCCAGCUGUAAACGAUGCGGGCUAGGUGUUGGGGUGGCUACGAGCCACUUCAGUGCCGCAGGGAAGCCAUUAAGCCCGCCGCCUGGGGAGUACGGCCGCAAGGCUGAAACUUAAAGGAAUUGGCGGGGGAGCACCACAAGGCGUGAAGCUUGCGGUUCAAUUGGAGUCAACGCCGGGAACCUUACCGGAGGCGACAGCAGGAUGAAGGCCAGAUUGAAGGUCUUGCUGGACAAGCU
rnacentral:rRNA from 1 species